rnacentral:misc_RNA from 1 species
CAGAGUCCCCGAGUUCGCGUUUCUGCUGCGCUCGAAGCCAACGUACCGGCCGCCAAUAGAUUUGAGGCGCACACCCCCGCGGAGGGGGGCGUGGCGUGCCCAACACCAAGCAGAGCUUGAAGGGUUAAAUGACGCUCGAACAGGCAUGCCCUAAGGAAUACCAAAGGGCGCAAUGUGCGUUCAAAGAUUCGAUGAUUCACUGAAUUCUGCAAUUCACACUACUUAUCGCAUUUCGCUGCGUUCUUCAUCGAUGCGGAACGGUUGGUU